UACGGAGGGGGCUAGCGUUGUUCGGAAUUACUGGGCGUAAAGCGCACGUAGGCGGCUUUGCAAGUCAGAGGUGAAAGCCCGGGGCUCAACCCCGGAAUUGCCUUUGAGACUGCAUCGCUAGAAUUGUGGAGAGGUAAGUGGAAUUCCCGGUGUAGCAGUGAAAUGCGUAGAGAUCGGGAGGAACACCAGUGGCGAAGGCGGCUACCUGGACCGAUAUUGACGCUGAGACGCGAAAGCGUGGGGAGCAAACAGG
rnacentral:rRNA from 1 species